UUUAUGUUGUGCAUGUAUCCGCAAAGCCCGGGUGAAGCUGGCGUCUUCCAGAUUGCGUUGUAUUGCACGAUGUCCGAGUGUUUAUCCCGCGGGUUACGUAUGCAACGCAUGCAUAUGUGAGAAGGGAAAAGACUCCACCAUAAAGCUAUUUGGGGUUAACAAUGUUCAAGGAAACGGGUUUAAUUGACCUAUUUUCCAACACACUCCGGAGGGAGGGGAACGGAAGGGACGCAGCGAUGAGUGCCAAAGUCGACAUGGACGUUCCAACCAAAGAGCCGGACCGUACGCCACCAGUCUCCUCUUCCUCCUCCUCUUCCUCCACCACCACCUCCUCCUCGAACACCUCCUCCUCCUCUUCCUCCUCCACCACCUCCUCCUCCUCCUCCUCUUCCUCCUCCUCGCCCCCCACCGACACCAUCCUCGUGUGCAGCAAAGAGGGGACGUCCAAGGGCCCCCUUCUUCCUCCCCCACCACCUCCUCCAGCUCCUUCUCCGUUGACCCAGACGACCACCACGGCUCUGCUCCUUCCAGCCGUAGUCCUACCCGGUCACCAAAAGCUGGAGGUGACGUCCGCCACUGUAGUGGCAGAGCCCGGGAAAGUGGGCGGGGUUAUAGAGGCGACCACGCCCACAGCCCAGGUGGGCGGGGCCUGCAGCAUCGUCCACGUACUGGAGUGGAAGGAGGGAAUGACUCUUCUGCCCACCACUAACCUCAAA
ensembl:lncRNA